UGGGGAAUCUUGCGCAAUGGGCGAAAGCCUGACGCAGCGACGCCGCGUGGGUGAUGAAGGCCUUCGGGUUGUAAAGCCCUGUGGAGGGGGAAGAAUAAGGGCAGCCUAAUACGCUGACUGAUGACGGUACCCCUUUAGCAAGCACCGGCUAACUCUGUGCCAGCAGCCGCGGUAAGACAGAGGGUGCAAACGUUGUUCGGAAUUACUGGGCGUAAAGCGCGUGUAGGCGGCUUGGCAAGUCGGGUGUGAAAGCCCUGGGCUCAACCCAGGAAGUGCACUCGAAACUGCUUCGCUCGAGUAUCGGAGAGGAAAGCGGAAUUCUCGGUGUAGAGGUGAAAUUCGUAGAUAUCGAGAGGAACACCGGUGGCGAAGGCGGCUCUCUGGGCAUUACCUGACGCUGAGGAGCGAAAGUGUGGGGAGCGAA
rnacentral:rRNA from 1 species